rnacentral:rRNA from 1 species
CAAGGAAUUUUCCGCAAUGGGCGCAAGCCUGACGGAGCAACGCCGCGUGCCGGAAGACGGCCUUCGGGUUGUAAACGGCUUUUGUGAGGGAUGAGAUGGACAGUACCUUACGAAUAAGCCCCGGCUAACUCCGUGCCAGCAGCCGCGGUAAUACGGAGGGGGCAAGCGUUGUCCGGACUUACUGGGCGUAAAGCGUGCGUAGGCGGUUGCGUGCGUCGGCACUGAAAGCGCCUGGCUCAACCAGGCGAGGCGUGGCGAUACGACGCAACUGGAGACAGAGAGAGGUUGAUGGAAUUCCGGGUGUAGUGGUGAAAUGCGUAGAGCUCCGGAGGAACGUCAGUGGAGAAAUCGGUCAACUGGCUCUGGUCUGACGCUGAGGCACGAAAGCGUGGGGAGCGAACCGGAUUAGAUACCCCCGUAGUCC